GACGAACGCUGGCGGCAUGCCUAACACAUGCAAGUCGAACGGUAAGGGGUGUUUUCGGUUGCGGGGGGGAGAGGAACGCGGAAGAACCUGCCCUUGGUAGGGGAACUGCAGCUGGAAAAGGCCUCUAAUACACCGUAGCCUGAGCAGCAUAAGGAUAAAUCCGCCGUUGGAUGGGCUCGCGUCUGGUUAGCUAGCUGGUGAGGCAAUAGCUUACCAAGGGGAUGAUCAGUAGCUAGUCAGAGGCGACGAUGAGCCACACUGGGAGUGAGACACGGCUCAGACUCCUACGGGAAGCAGCAGUGGGGAAUCUGCCGCAAUGGGCGAGAGCGUGGCGGGGCAAUGCCGCGUGGAGGUAGAAGGCAUACGGGGCAUGAACUUCAUUUUCCAGAGAAGAAACAAUGACGGUAUCUGGGGAAUAAGCAUCGGCUAACUCUGUG
rnacentral:rRNA from 1 species